CGAGAUGUGCAGCGGACGAUUAAAGAGGACAUUGACAUCCAUAGAGGUGAGUCAUACACAUUGAUGGAAGCGAUGGCUGUUUUGUGUCAUCUGUGUCAUGUUUGCACUUUGUUCGGGUUCUUUGCAUGUCUAACUCUUUGCUUUGACACACUCUGUCCUUGAGGUGUUGGCUGUUUAGCAUCUGGGUCACGUUUGGACUUUAUCCUGGUCACUUGUCUGCGUCAUUCAUGGCUUUGACAUAAAUUGAAGACAUGGGACUUUGAUUGUUUGCUGAUGUCGCCAUUUUCUUUGUUUUACAUGCCGAGAGACCGAGAUGUGCAGCGGAUGAUUAAAGAGGACAUUGACAUCCAUAGAGGUGAGUCACACACAUUGAUGGAAGCGAUGGCUGUUUUGUGUCAUCUGUGUCAUGUUUGCACUUUGUUCGGGUUCUUUGCAUGUCUAACUCUUUGCUUUGACACACUCUGUCCUUGAGGUGUUGGCUGUUUUCCAUCUGGGUCACGUUUGGACUUAAUGCUGGUCACUCGUCUGCGUCAUUCAUGGCUUUGACAUAAAUUGAAGACAUGGGACUUUGAUUGUUUGCUGAUGUCGCCAUUUUCUUUGUUUCUUUUACAUGCCGAGAGACCGAGAUGUGCAGUGGACGAUUAAAGAGGACGUUGACAUCCAUAGAGGUGAGUCAUACACAUUUACGGAAGCGAUGGCCGUUUUGUGUCGUCUGUGUCAUGUUUGCACUUUGUUCGGGUUCUUUGCAUGUCUAACUCUUUGCUUUGACACACUCUGUCCUUGAGGUGUUGGCUGUUUAGCAUCUGGGUCACGUUUGGACUUUAUCCUGGUCACUUGUCUGCGUCAUUCAUGGCUUUGACAUAAAUUGAAGACAUGGGACUUUGAUUGUUUGCUGAUGUCGCCAUUUUCUUUGUUUCUUUUACAUGCUGAGAGACCGAGAUGUGCAGUGGACGAUUAAAGAGGACGUUGACAUCCAUAGAGGUGAGUCAUACACAUUGACGGAAGCGAUGGCUGUUUUGUGUCGUCUGUGUCAUGUUUGCACUUUGUUCGGGUUCUUUGCAUGUCUAACUCUUUGCUUUGACACAUUCUGUCCUUGAGGUGUUGGCUGUUUUCCAUCUGGGUCACAUUUGGACUUAAUCCUGGUCACUUGUCUGCGUCAUUCAUGGCUUUGACAUAAAUUGAAGACAUGGGACUUUGAUUGUUUGCUGAUGUUGCCUUUUUCUUUGUUUGUUUUACAUGUCGAGAGACGAGAUGUGCAGUGGACGAUUAAAGAGGACAUUGACAUCCAUAGAGGUGAGUCAUACACAUUGACAGAAGCGAUGGUUGUUUUGUGUUGUCUGUCAUGUUUGCACUUUGUUCGGGUUCUUUGCAUGUCUAACUCUUUGCUUUGACACACUCUGUCCUUGAGGUGUUGGCUGUUUAGCAUCUGGGUCACGUUUGGACUUUAUCCUGGUCACUUGUCUGUGUCAUUCAUGGCUUUGACAUAAAUUGAAGACAUGGGACUUUGAUUGUUUGCUGAUGUCGCCAUUUUCUCUGUUUCUUUUACAUGCCGAGAGACGAGAUCUGCAGUGGACGAUUAAAGACGACGUUGACAUCCAUAGAGGUGAGUUUGUUCUUUUCUCACACUUUGCUAUUUUUCUACUUUCCUCUUUUCUCACACUUUGCUAUUUUCACACUUUGUUCUUUUUCCUCUUUUCUCACACUUUGCUAUUUUCACACUUUGUUCUUUUUCCUCUUUCCUCACACUUUGUUCUUUUUCCUCUUUCCUCACACUUUGCUAUUUUCACACUUUGUUUUUUUUCCAUACUUUGUUCUUUUUCCUCUUUUUUCACACUUUGCUAUUUUCACACUUU
ensembl:lncRNA